AGCGAACGCUGGCGGCGUGCUUAACACAUGCAAGUCGAGUGCGUAGCCCUUUGUAGCAAUACAGAGGGUGGGCGCACGGCGCACGGGUGAGUAACACGUGGGUAACCUGCCCUUCGGUGGGGAAUAACCCCGCGAAAGCGGGGCGUAAUUCCGCAUAACAUUCCGGGGACGACAUGUUCUCGGACUCAAAGGAGUGAUUCGCCGGAGGAGGGGCCCGCGCCCGAUUAGCUUGUUGGUAGGGUAACGGCCCACCAAGGCUUUGAUCGGUAGCCGGUCUGAGAGGAUGGCCGGCCACACUGGAACUGAGGACACGGGUCCAGACUCCUACGGGAGGCAGCAGUGGGGAAUCUUGCGCAAUGGGCGAAAGCCUGACGCAGCGACGCCGCGUGGGGAUGAAGCUUC
rnacentral:rRNA from 1 species